rnacentral:rRNA from 1 species
GUGGGGAAUCUUGCGCAAUGGGCGAAAGCCUGACGCAGCGACGCCGCGUGGAGGAUGACGGUCUUCGGGUUGUAAACUCCUGUCAGGGGUGAAGAAACUUCGCAAGAAGCUGACGGUAACCCCAGAGGAAGCCCCGGCUAACUACGUGCCAGCAGCCGCGGUAAUACGUAGGGGGCAAGCGUUACUCGGAAUCACUGGGCGUAAAGGGUGUGUAGGCGGCUGGACAAGUCGGAGAUGAAAUCCCGAGGCUCAACUUCGGAACUGUCUUCGAUACUGUUCGGCUUGAGGGCAGAGGAAGAGAAUGGAAUUCCCGGUGGAGCGGUGAAAUGCGUAGAUAUCGGGAGGAACACCUGAGGCGAAAGCGAUUCUCUAUACUGUUCCUGACGCUGAGACACGAAAGCUAGGGGAGCAAACGGGAUUAGAAACCCCAGUAGUCC